rnacentral:rRNA from 1 species
GACGGAGGGGGCUAGCGUUGUUCGGAAUUACUGGGCGUAAAGAGCGCGUAGGCGGAUUAGUAAGUUGGAAGUGAAAGCCCGGGGCUUAACCUCGGAAUAGCUUUCAAAACUACUAGUCUUGAGUGUAGUAGGGGAUGAUGGAAUUCCUAGUGUAGAGGUGAAAUUCUUAGAUAUUAGGGAGGAACACCGGUGGCGAAGGCGGUCAUCUGGGCUACAACUGACGCUGAGGCGCGAAAGCGUGGGGAGCAAACAGG